UUGACCUCGGAUCAGGUAGGNCCC
rnacentral:rRNA from 1 species